ACGAACGCUGGCGGCGUGCCUAAUACAUGCAAGUCGAGCGAAGUUUUUCUGGUGCUUGCACUAGAAAAACUUAGCGGCGAACGGGUGAGUAACACGUAAAGAACCUGCCUCAUAGACUGGGACAACUAUUGGAAACGAUAGCUAAUACCGGAUAACAGUAUUUCUCGCAUGAGAGAUAUUUAAAAGUUGGUUAUGCUAACACUAUGAGAUGGCUUUGCGGUGCAUUAGCUAGUUGGUGGGGUAAAGGCCCACCAAGGCGACGAUGCAUAGCCGACCUGAGAGGGUGAUCGGCCACACUGGGACUGAGACACGGCCCAGACUCCUACGGGAGGCAGCAGUAGGGAAUCUUCCGCAAUGGGCGAAAGCCUGACGGAGCAACGCCGCGUGAGUGAAGAAGGAUUUCGGUUCGUAAAGCUCUGUUGUUAGGGAAGAAUGGAUAUGUAGUAACUAUACAUGUAGGAGACGGUACCUAACCAGAAAGCCACGGCUAACUACGUG
rnacentral:rRNA from 1 species